rnacentral:rRNA from 1 species
AUGGAUCCUAUUUACCAUCUUGACUUGAAACCUGCAAACAUAUUAUUAGACCAGAACAUGGUCCCCAAAAUUGGAGAUUUUGGUUUGUCAAGACUCUUCCCUUCAGUACAAACAUAUAUCACGAUUAAAAUUAUAGGAACACACGGAUACAUGCCACCAGAAUAUAUCGAGAGAUAUGAAAUCACAUCGAAGUAUGACGUAUUCAGUUUGGGUGUUGUAAUCAUGCGGAUAAUGGCAGGAGAUGAGGGCUACUCCAAAUGUGCGCAUAUGUCUUCGCAAGAAUUUAUUGAGCAUGUACAUGAAAACUGGGGGAAACGAUUGCGGGAAACAAUGUCGUCAUAUAUAUCAGAGCAGCUUAGCACAUGUCUUGAAAUAGCGCUGAGGUGUGUGGAGGUCGAUCAUGAGAAACGACCUACUAUAGCAGAGAUUGUUGAUGAACUGAACAAGGUUGAUACUGCAGAAAGUUCAACUAAAGACAAGCUACUAUUUACCGUUCAACCACUAUAG